GAGCAGAUGGCCCCAUUACCAUCUCAUCAAACCUCAAGUGUCAUAUUGAUGUGAUCGAUAUGUUUCACCAAUACACCUCCCUUUUCAUCCCCCCAACCUCCUCAUCUUUAGAUUCAUUCCAUUAUUACCAAACUUAUCAAAAAUAACUCCACACUCUUUGUUGAUCUAAUUAUAUAUGUCAGUUGAUAGAGGAAAGGAGCCUGCUGAACAUGGAUCAUCAGGGGAUCCACCACCUUCUCCCAGCCGCUACGAGUCUCAAAAACGAAGAGACUGGAAUACCUUCGGACAAUACCUGAGGAACCUAAGGCCUCCUGUGCACAUCUUUCAGUGCAACAGCAACCAUGUGCUUGAGUUCCUCAGGUACUUGGAUCAAUUUGGAAAGACUAAAGUUCACUUGCAAGGCUGUAUCUUUUAUGGGCAGCCUGAGCCACCGGCUCCUUGCGCCUGUCCACUUAGACAGGCUUGGGGAAGCCUUGACUCCCUCAUAGGCCGGCUUCGAGCAGCCUAUGAGGAAAAUGGAGGGUCACCCGAAUCGAACCCUUUUGCUACGAGUGUGAUUCGGGUUUACCUUAGAGAAGUGAAGGAAUGUCAAGCAAAAGCUAGAGGAAUCCCUUAUAAAAAGAAGAAGAAAGCUACAAAGGGAGGAGAAGACUCUAGUUCCACAUGAGUGAAUCUAUUCUCUUGGAGUCUUGGUUGCAUAAACAGUAAAGACCUAGAGUAGUAGGCUGUCAUCAGGAAAAAGGAUACACCAAGAUAAAACACACCAGGUGAUGACAUUAUGCUUUUUUCAUUCUUGGAUUGGUUGGACUGGUCAUUCGAGUUUAUCUCUAUUUGUCAUUGUAAUAUCAUCCUUGAUUAAUUUAGAUAGUAAUGGUGAUUUAUAUCAGCCUUGAUUGAUUUAGAUAGUAA